rnacentral:rRNA from 1 species
CCCUUAGACGUUCUGGGCCGCACGCGCGCUACACUGACCAGUGCAACAAGCAUCCGUCCUUGGCCGACAGGCCCGGGCAAUCUUUGAACGCUGGUCGUGAUGGGGAUAGACUUUUGCAAUUUUUGGUCUUCUACGAGGAAUUCCUAGUAAACGCAAGUCAUCAACUUGCAUUGAUUACGUCCCUGCCCUUUGUACACACCGCCCGUCGCACCUACCGAUUGAAUGGUCCGGUGAAGCCUCCGGAUUGGCGCGCACCUCGGUGCCGCCGAGAAGUUGGCUAAACCUUACCAUUUAGAGGAAGGUGAAGUCGUAACA